UCUCUCUUCCUCUCCAUCAGUCACCUCUCUGCAUCUCUCAAUUGUUUCAAGUGCUCUAACCCUAACUCAACAUAGCCAUCAGCUGCCGUCGUAAAUCGGAUUUUUUUUGCGUGAGGGAUGAACAUUUGAAGAUGAAACAUCACAAGAAACGGAAGACACGUGGUAUGGGAGCUGGACGCAAGCUGAGGACCCCGUAUGUGUAUUAUAAGUGCUUCAUACUUGAGCUUCACCGACUGCAAAGAAAAUAUUAAUCACUUUGUGUAUUAUAAGUGCUUCAUACACGAGCUUCACCGUAUGAAGAUGGUUGGAAUUGGAGUACUUAUGCUGCAACAACUUUCUAGCAUUAAUGGUGUUCUAUUCUAUUCCAGUACAAUUUUGGAAGCUGCUGGGGUUAAAUCAAGCAAUGCAGCCACCUUUGGAGUUGGUCAAGACAUUCACCAGAGCAACCUCGGCUGGUCUCAUGUUUAUUGUUGAGUCAAACCUUAGGUUCAUAUUUUGUUAAUUAUAAUGAACAAUGUUGAAUUACG